GAAAUGCGAUAAGUAAUGUGAAUUGCAGAAUUCAGUGAAUCAUCGAAUCUUUGAACGCACAUUGCGCCCGCCAGUAUUCUGGCGGGCAUGCCUGUUCGAGCGUCAUUUCAACCAUCAAGCCCCCGGCUUGUGUUGGGGACCUGCGGCUGCCCGCAGGCCCUGAAAAACAGUGGCGGGCUCGCUGUCACACCGAGCGUAGUAGCAUACAUUCUCGCUCAGGGCGUGCUGCGGGUUCCGGCCGUUAAACGACCGUCAUAACCCAAGGUUGACCUCGGAUCAGGUAGGAAGACCCGCUGAACUUAAGC
rnacentral:misc_RNA from 1 species